rnacentral:tRNA from 1 species
GGAGAGAUAGCUCAGCUAGUAGAGCGCUUACCUUGCAUGUGUAAGGACCUGGGUUCAAUCCCCAGCACCA